ensembl:lncRNA
GUAGACUGGAGGUAAUCAGACUGGAGCUAGUAGACUGUAGCUAGUAGACUGGAGCUAGUAGACUGGAGGUAAUCAGACUGGAGCUAGUAGACUGGAGCUAGUAGACUGGAGCUAGCUAGACUGGAGCUAGUAGACUGGAGCUAGCUAGACUGGAGCUAGUAGACUGGAGCUAGUAGACUGGAGCUAGUAGACUGGAGCUAGCUAGACUGGAGCUAACUAGACUGGAGCUAGCUAGACAGGAGCAAGUAGACUGGAGGUAACCAGACUGGAGCUAGCUAGACUGGAGCUAGUAGACUGGAGCUAGUAGACUGGAGCUAGUAGACUGAAGCUAGUAGACUGGAGGUAACCAGACUGGAGCUACUAGACUGGAGCUAGUAGACUGGAGGUAACCAGACUGGAGCUAGCUAGACUGGAG